CACAAAGCCACAACGCAGGCUCUCUAGAGAGCGCGCAGGCCAUCUCACUGCUCACAAUGUCAUCCGGUAGCCAUGGCAGCUCUGCCUCUUCUCGUUUCCGGAGCGGAGGUACCUCUCCCAUCCCGUAUCGCGUGCACCCCAUGGACUACGAGCCUUCCGUUAACUGCUACUGCGGCCGAAAGGCACCGCUCCUGACCUCUUGGACCGACGCCAAUCCCGGCCGGAGGUACCUGUGCUGUUCACGGGCGACGCAGGGAUGCGGGUUCUGGCGCUGGUUUGACCCGAGGGCUAGCCCCUACCUUAGACAGCUACUCCUCGAUCUGCGAAGCAAGAUCGUUCGCAUGGAGGGCAAGAACGCACUACUGCACAUGUCUCUGGAGCAAGCCCUGUGCAAAGCAAGGCGCUGACAGAGCUUCAGCUCACGGCUCGUUGCGUUUCUACUGAUGGUAAUUCUGUUCUUCAUCUGCGUCUCGGCUUGGUCUGGUGUACCGUCUGCUUGAUCUUUGCAUCUGUGAUGUCGAUGGUCAUAAGUUAUGUAGGUCCUAAGGCGAGUAAUCAAGGCUGUGAAAACACCCAAAAAAAUGUAUCUGGAAGCUGUGUCGUGGUGGGCGCGUUACUAAUGAGAGGGAAACUUGUAUUAGACUCCGUGUGAGUGUUGUAUGGUGCAAAUCGUGUCCAUUAAGACUGGAGUGUGUCGGCUGUUCCAUUAUCCUGUUAGUAUAAAUAAUCAUCAAGUUGUUUUCCAUGGUAUCUCGGUCAAAAGCGCGGUAGCUCUACUGCGUGUCAUCAGACUGUACAAGGUGUAAGCGCUGACCUGCGCGUUCUGUUGUGCUGCGGCCUCUGAUGG
rnacentral:rRNA from 1 species